rnacentral:tRNA from 1 species
GCUGUGCUAGUGUAGAUGGUUAACAUACCAGACUGUGGAUCUGGAGAUCCCGGGUUCGAUCCCCGGGCACGGCC